CAAAUUAUAAGGACCUGAAUAUUUUUUACAGACUGGUAUAAUGCUUGUAGUAAUGCACUCAAAUUCAAAUGACGGAUUUUAAAAUUUAUUUUCUAAUUUAAAAUUCAUUUGAAUACAUAUUGCAAUUAGGAACACUACAGUUUAUAGUCCACAGAGGUUAAUUAACACGAAACAUGAAAUAAAUGCAGCUGUCGUCCACCAGCAAAAAAUUAUGUGAGCCCGUACGAAACAAAUUUCGGGGAGAUAUUUACCCUUCGGUCCUGGGUUUAAAAGACCAUUCGGAUCCUAAGGAAGGGUUCAUCUGCCUCUCUGAAACAAAACGGGACGGAUUAAAGAACGAUUAAGCGAGAGACCGUCUGGAAAGAAUGGAAAAACCGCCGGAUUACCAUUUUCGUUAUGGUCGAGAAGGGGAGCGUCUAUCUGUCUCUGCAGCUGUCUCGUCUCGUGUGUCAACGAUCUCACUCGGUUCAGAAGCUCCUCAUAGCUCGAGACUGGUAGAGUCAUACCGAACCCGCCCUCUCAGUAACAUCUAACUUAAAAGUACGUCUUUUUCCGAGGGGACGAAAUUUGAAUAAAUAACCGGCGCCCGUAUUCGGAUUACGGAGCAGUGGUCGACGAGGCGCCGGCGGACGUCUCUCCUGUCGCGAGACUUCAAUAAACACGAAACCACCGUAGACAGUUUACCACACAGUUAUGCCGAAGAGUUUACCUACCAAAACAGGGUGAUCCACUGGAAGAAGACCACACUUGGCCCAGGUUCGCCAACCUACCGACUUUCACCAAAUUACAACAUGCCAUACCUAACGAACAAUAAAGACGCCCCCUCCUAAAAGGAAUAAUGAAUUGGACCAUUCAAAAAGCUAAGCUAUCCACAAUGGUCUUUGACAUCCAAAGGUUUAUUUAUUUUUCAUUUUGUCCUCAUACAUACAUAAUUUAUGAAUUUUACAUUUUUUCUGGAGUAUAAACGUACAUAUUUCUUGAGUUUGCUUGUCAUUACAAUUUUUUUUGGACCAUGCAGGAUAGCGUUAUGCCAGAUCCUUUCAUGGAGGUAAUUGUUCUGCAUUUUAUAAAACAUUUGUUCAAAUUUGGUAUAAAGCUUUAAUCUACAUUAUAUUUUGUGGUUGACAUAAUUUAAUAAAAUGGCAAUUAAAACU